CCUAUGAAUAGUUUAAAUGGCCGCAGUACUUUGACUGUGCAAAGGUAGCAUAAUCACUUGUUCCUUAAUUAGGAGCUGGAAUGAAAGGGGCGACGAGAUCUGGGCUGUUGGCGAUAAUAUGUAAUUUAACAUAAAGGUCAAAAGGCCUUUAUAGAUCAAAGGGACGAUAAGACCCUAUAAAACUUUACUUUUAAUAGGACCUUAUUAGGUUGGGAAAAUAUAUAAGGUUAAACUGGGGCGGUACUAAUAAAAACAAUUAAAUAUAGAAUAUUUUAAAUAACUUUUAAGAACUCUUUAAAGAAAUAGAACAAGUUACUUUAGGGAUAACAGCAUAAUUCUCCCAGAGAGUACUAAUUGGCGGGAGAGCUUAUGACCUCGAUGUUGAAUUGGGGACCCUUGUGUAAGCAGAGAUAUAUAGAGGCAGUCUGUUCGACUGUUAAAUUCCC
rnacentral:rRNA from 1 species